rnacentral:rRNA from 1 species
GAGUUUGAUCUUGGCUCAGAUUGAACGCUGGCGGCAUGCCUUACACAUGCAAGUCGAACGGCAGCACGGGAGCUUGCUCCUUGAUUCAGCGGCGGACGGGUGAGUAAUGCCUAGGAAUCUGCCUGGUAGUGGGGGACAACGUUUCGAAAGGAACGCUAAUACCGCAUACGUCCUACGGGAGAAAGCAGGGGACCUUCGGGCCUUGCGCUAUCAGAUGAGCCUAGGUCGGAUUAGCUAGUUGGUGGGGUAAUGGCUCACCAAGGCGACGAUCCGUAACUGGUCUGAGAGGAUGAUCAGUCACACUGGAACUGAGACACGGUCCAGACUCCUACGGGAGGCAGCAGUGGGGAAUAUUGGACAAUGGGCGAAAGCCUGAUCCAGCCAUGCCGCGUGUGUGAAGAAGGUCUUCGGAUUGUAAAGCACUUUAAGUUGGGAGGAAGGGCAGUAAGUUAAUACCUUGCUGUUUUGACGUUACCGACAGAAUAAGCACCGGCUAACUCUGUGCCAGCCGCCG